rnacentral:lncRNA from 1 species
AAAAUACUAUUUUCUCAAGUCUAGGGAAUGAUAAGGAUCCAGUGAGCAUCAUGAGGAGAUCUGAUAUACUCAGUUCCAUUAUAUAACUGCUCUGUAUGAACAUCUGAGGAAUAUAUGGGUAGGAUCAAUAGAUGUAUAUGCACUAGGAUGGAAGAGCAUAAAACAGCCAUUAGAAUUGGUAAGCAAAAUACUAUAUUAGCUAUUAAGGCAUAUGAAAAUGGCAUCAAUUUAUUUUGGGAUAGUGCAAGUAUAAUAAGGCCAAUUGUGAAUACUGCAAGUGGCAACACUGCUGAGGCAAUAGAAAUAGAAAAAAAAAGAAUGAAAGCAUAUGUAAUUAAUGAUAAUGAUCUGGAAAAUCUCUCAAUGUAAUGGCAUUAGUGCAUGAAAGUUAACAUGUAAGUGCUGCAUUAUGAUAGUACUAUCUAUGUGUAGAAGUUUGCAUAUGGUUAGAUUUAUUUAUUUUAAAAAACAUUAUUUAAG